AAGGGGCUUAGGAUAAACCAGACCAAGGGCCUUCAAAGCCCUAAGCGGAAGUGAGAACCUUCCAACGCCUG
rnacentral:tRNA from 1 species